GGAAAUGUAGCAGAGACUGAUGCUUUCAGAUAUGAAGACAAAGUGCUGUAUGUCUCUGUGCAUACAGACCAAAGGAUGGACUCCCACUGGGAGACCUGGAA